UCUCUCGCACGGUAAAGGUGUUGAAAACGGCCAAUAUACUCCUCUAUGUGGGCAAUAGAUGGCCCGGGCAUGUAACCUGUUAUUGUGGGGUUUUUUGUUAGACCUACCAAGCACACGUCCAUGUUUAAAUUAAGGUUAGGCUACUGGAUAAUUUAAAACAAAACCAAAUUGUCUGCACUGUUGCUGAAAGCGUCGGAUAUGUCGCCCCUGUAUUGCAAUUUGGCCAAAUCCGAAUGCGUCCUGUGAAACGCCCGUGGGUUGCAUUGGAGAAAGCCAUGAGCGUCUCUCUCGCACAAUAAAGGUGUUAAAACGGCCAAUAAACUCCUAUAUCAAAAACGAUUAAUGACCUCCUGUUUUAGCCAAUCAUCAUGGAGGAAACAUAACUUGUUGUUGCUCAAAACCUACGUCUGUGCAGUCGUUCAACAUUGUGGUGAAUUAAUGACGAGUGAAGCCCACAGCGUCUAAUAACAUCGCGGGUGGUUUUACGCUGAAGUUGGUUGAAAGCCAUGAGCCAUGAGGUUGGUUG